CACACACCCAGGUGGCAGUUUGGUGAACCCUCCUCCAGGGUAACUGGGGAAAGCUGAAAAUGCCUGUUGGCCUGACAGGGGUUUUCAGAGUGUCACUCCCAUGCUGAGUGGGUGGGGCGGAGAGGUGACAUUCACCCUCCUCGGCAGCACCCCUUAUGUCCCUCGUGUGUUCUCCGGCUGCAGAGCCCAGUGAGGCUAUGCAGUGACAGAUAGUCACUUGUGCCUCUCUCUCCCUUCUGCUCCCCCCCGCCCCUGCCACUUCUACCCACCCAGGCUUGCAGCAGAGGGCCUGGAGUCUUGGGUGUGGGCAGGUGUUUAUCUCAUCAGACAACUAAAGUUUUGCCAGGGCUGGGCUGCGGGUUCACGCAUUCACCUGCUGACCUGCUUAGGAAACACAGGGCAGGGUUUUGUUCCAGUGCCUUCCUGGCAGCCACACCCACUUAACACCAAAUUCCCAAUGCCAGGUCUGAGACAGAGGGGAUCGCAGUGGAGACUGCACUCGCUUCAGCAGUUACCAGCUCUGGUAAUAUCUGUUGAGCAACUGCUCCAUGGCAGGGCUGGGGAGGUGGCCCGUGAACAAAUUGGCCAGGGCAGGUCCCUGCUCCGACCUGUGGUGCUUGCAGUCACCGUCUGGGGAGGGACUGCAAAACCACACAGACAGUACGACAGACGGUGCACCAUGAGGAGAAGGUCUGGCUUCCAUGAACAUGUGCCACAGCGGGAGCAAAGUAAAUGAGAUUGGAGGGGGCCAGGAGGAAAUGACAUUGAAGCUCAGAGGAAGAGAAUUUAACCAGGACUGGACUGUCUUCCGGGGGCGAUCAGAGCAAAGGCGCUAAGAUGACAGGAGCCACUAUGCGUCUGAAGAAGCCAGCAUGUAUUCUAGCUCCUAAGCAAUCAAAACAUGUAGUGCUUCAGAAAGGAGGGAAAGUCAUGUGUGGUCUGAAUCGUAACACCAGAAGGAGAAUUGGCAUUUGUGCAUCCUUCCCCAUGGUGCCAGUCAGAGAUGUUGGCUGAAAGCAAUACCAUCAACUGUGGGUAACUCGAGCAGAGAAGGAAUUGACAAAAAGGUAAUUUCCAGGAAGCCUGGAGAACCAGGCUUGGACAGAACCAGGCUUGGACAACAGGCUAAACACCAAGGCUGUCCAGGCACACAGGACACCAGCCAGGACCAGUGUCAGGAACAGCCUGGCUGAUAAGCCCCUAUGGGUACUGCCUCUAGGGACCCUUGCCUGUGUUUCUGUGCAUCAGCUUUAACCAUCUUUACCUUUGUGGGUCUCCCUCCAGAACUGAAGGCUUGGGAGGAGUUUCCAAUGGGUAAACUGGGCUAUUUGUCCAUGCCCAUACUACCUGGGGGAAGAGGGAAUGCGUUCAGCCUUUCGUGAAGAUGCAGCCCUUCCCCACACCCGGGCGUCCUCACUGAGGAAGACUCACAAAUAGGAUGAGGGGUUGGGGAGAGGGCAACCAAAGCAAUGGCCCAAGUCCACUCUAGCCCACUUUUUCAUUCCCAGUACCCACGUGCAACCCUCUUCCAGGAGGAGCUCCCAGAAGCCAUGCACCUCCCUGUCCAUAUUGCCUGUCAGAACUUUUGGUAAUUGGGAUCAGUUAAUCACCCGAGCCAACACUUCAGCUCUCCUCUUUCUGUUUGCCUGAUGGCACAAGGAGACAACAUACCAGGUGUCUCUAUUCACUUCCCUUCACCAUGACUCCUUGCGCAAGCACUUCCCGCUUCGGUACUGAAGCCUCAAAACCAGCUGAGAACAGAUUCGUGAAGACAGGAAGCAAAAAACUCGAAUGGAUCAUUCAGUAUAACUUUAUCCACUUCCACCUCCCGCUUCUUAGCUCUGUGUAUUCUGGCUAUGGGAGGGGCCAAACCUUGUGUUCUUUACUGAUUCAGAGCAUACACUACAUCCUGCCACCUAGCACGCCAAUCUCUGAAAGUGUUAUCAUUGUGUCUUUGGAAACUCAUGCCAUGUCACUGUUCUAUGACUUCUGGAUAAUGGGGUAUGUGACGAGAUGAUUGAAACCCAUGACAGUAAGUCCAUUGCCUGCUUCUUCUUUUCUUUUUUUUCUUUUUUUUUUUUUUUUUGAUACAGAGUCUCGAAGGCUCUGUUGCCCAGACUGGAGUGCAGUGGUGCGAUCUCAACUCAUUGCAACCUCCAGCUCCCGGGGUUCACGCCAUUCUCCUGCCUCAGCCUUCUGAGUAGCUGAGACUACAGGCACGUGCCACCACGCCCAGCUAAUUUUUGUAUUUUUAGUAGAGACAGGGUUUUGCCAUGUUGGCCAAGCUGGUCUUGAACUCCUGACCUCAGGUGACCUGCCCGCCUUGGCCUCCCAAAGUGCUAGGAUUACAGGUGUGAGCCACUGCGCCCGGCCAUUGCCUGCUUUUUUCACUGUAAAAUAAUGUUUGUAAGACACCUUGGUGAUCUUUAAGGCACUCUUUUUUUUUUGGUGGGGGGGGACGGGGUCUGCUCUGUCACCCAGAGUAGAGUGCGGUGGCACAAUCACGGCUCAAUGCAGCCUCCAACUCCUGAACUCAGGUGAUCCUUCCACCUCAGCCUCUUGAGUAGCUGGAACUACAAGCACACACCACAGUGCCUGGCUAAUUUUCUUUUUUUUUUUUUUUUGUAUUUUUUUUUAGUAGAGAUGGGGUUUCACCAUGUUAGCCAGGAUGGUCUUGAUCUCCUGACCUCGUGAUCCCCCCGCUUCGGCCUCCCAAAGUGCUGGGAUUACAGGCGUGAGCCACCACGCCCAGCCCCUAAUUUUCAAAUUUUUAAUAAAGACAGGAUCUCACUAUGUUGUCCAGGCUGGUCUUGAAUUCCUGGCCUGAAGCAAUCCUCCUGCCUUGGCUUCCCAUAGUGGUGGGAUUACAGGUGCAGUUUUGUUUGUUUGUUUUUGAGACAGAGUUUCACCCAGGCUGGAGUGCAGUGGCGCGGAUCUCAACUCACUGCAACAUCCGCCUCCCAGGUUCAAGCAAUUCUCCUGCCUCACCCUCCUGAGUAGCUGGGAUUACAGGUGCCCACCACCAUGCCUGGCUAAUUUUUUUAUUUUUAGUAGAGACGGGGUUUCACCAUGUUGGCCAGGAUGGUCUCAAACUCCUGACCUCGGGUGAUCCACCCACCUCGGCCUCCCAAAGUGCUGGGAAUACAGGUGUGGGCCAACAUGCCCAGCACAGGUGUGGGUUUUUUUUGUUGUUGUUUUGUUGUUUUUGUUUUUGUUUUUUGAGACAGAGUCUCACUCUGGAGCCCAGGCUGGAGUGUAGUGGCACAAUCUCGGCUCACUGCAACCUCUGCCUCCUGGGUCCAAGCGAUUCUCCUGUCUCAGCCUCCCAAAUAGCUGGGAUUACAGGCACCCGCCACCAUGCCUGGCUAAUUUUUUGUAUUUUUAGUAGAGUUGAAGUUUCACCAUGUUGGCCAGACUGGUCUCAAACUCCUGACCUCAGGUGAUCCACCCGCCUUGGCCUCCCAAAAUGCUGGGAUUACAGGCGUGAGCCACCACACGCAGCCACAGGUGUGUUUUUAGUAGAGACGGUGUUUCGCCAUGUUGACCAGACUGGUCUGGAAUUCCUGACCUCAAGUGAUCCACCUGCCUUGACCUCCCAAAGUGCUGGGAUUACAUGAGCCACUGCGCCCAGCCCAAGGCAUUCAUUAAUUUCACAUUUCAUGUGUAGCAGAAUCAAAGAAAGCAAACACAAAUCCAGGUUAAGUGUCUAUUCCAGUGAAGACACAGAGGCAUCCCUUUCCUGGUGGGAGGGGUCUAAUGUUUAAUCUAAGGUGUAAUGUAAUAAACCUGCCACCAGGUAGCUGGCUAGUCUCCUCAAUGACUAGAACCAUAACAGAGACUGAGAGCCCGCAUGCUGUGAAUUAGGCUCACAACAGUGGCGGUCGUCAGGUCCACUUUGAUAAGAGAAGGUUUGUGUUGUUGACAAAGCACAAGAUCUCUAUUCCUGCCACUAUGACCUUUUGCACAAGGCCUGGGGUGUUGGAGAAGGAGGCCCCUGACAUCCGCAGGGCAGGUCAUCUCACCCACUCACCUUUUAUGAAGUGGAGGUCUUUUGAUAAGAAUUCAUAUGGGACACAAACAUACGACCCAGAAACGUCUACCUCCCGUGGUUAUUGAGAAGCAUCAGUGAGCCAAUAUAUCGGACAUGUAUGCCACACAAUUUGUUUUCAAUAACUGACAGUUACUUUUUUUUCUCUGAGAGGGACUCUCGCUCUGUUGCCCAGGCUGGAGUGCAGUGGUGUGAUCACGGCUCACUGCAAGCUCCGCCUCCCAGGUUCACACCAUUCUCCUGCUUCAGCCUCCCCAGCAGCUGGGACUAUAGGCACCUGCCACCACACCUGGCUACUUUUUUUGUAUUUUUAGUAAAGACAGGGUUUGACCGUGUUAGCCAGGAUGGUCUCGAUCUCCCGACCUAGUGAUCCACCUGCCUCAGCCUCCCAAAGUGCUGGGAUUACAGGCGUGAGCCACCGCGCCCGGCCGACAGUUACUAAAUAACACAGUAUGUGCAAUGUAAAAAUAUAACCUAAAAUCACAUUGAAAAAAACACAAUAAAGAGAAAAUAUAAAGUAUACCAUUUGUACAGUGCAUAAAGCAACACUGAAAACAGGCCCUGGCACCCAAAGAAACCGUGUUUAUUUUCUAAGAAAGACUUUAUUGACUUU
rnacentral:lncRNA from 10 species